rnacentral:ncRNA from 1 species
AAUUAGGUUCUUAAGGAUUAAAAGGGAAAUGGGUUUAAAUCCCAUGCAGCCCCCGCUACUGUAAGUGAUGACAAAAUCAACUGAAAUACCACUGGACAAGGUCCGGGAAGGUGUUGAGAGUAGGAUGAUUCACAAGCCAGGAGACCUGCCUAGAAAC